rnacentral:rRNA from 1 species
AACGAACGCUGGCGGCGUGCCUAACACAUGCAAGUCGUACGAGAAAUCCUGGGCAACUGGGAAAGUAAAGUGGCGUAUGGGUGAGUAACGCGUGGGUAACCUAUCCUUGAAUUGGGGAUAACUCCUCGAAAGCGGGGUUAAUACCGAAUAACGUUCCAGCUUCUUCGGAGGUUGGAACCAAAGAUGGCCUCUGCAUGCAAGCUAUUGUUUAAGGAUGGGCCCGCGUACCAUUAGCUUGUUGGUAGGGUAAUGGCCUACCAAGGCAACGAUGGUUAGCUGGUCUGAGAGGAUGACCAGCCACACUGGAACUGAGACACGGUCCAGACUCCUACGGGUGGCAG